CAAGCAAUGCUUCAGCCAGUGAGACACUGCCCUAUGUCGAGGAAGUGUUCGACAAUGUAAAUGCUGGUGAUGCUGCAAGAAGCUUCAUAGAUUUCCUUGGAGUUGGAGGGACUGCCAAUUGAACCAGUCAGAAUGGAAGGGAGGUUCGACGAAGAAAGGGGAGAGGGAGAGACAGGAGAGGACUAAAGUGAAGUCGACGACCAAAGCUUCACAUAGAUUGUGGUUUCAUUGAAGGGUGGGGAGAAAGUAGGCUUCAAGGGUGGAAGGGGAUGGGACAAGGAGGGACUGAGGCAUCAACACUGAGAUGGUUGAGGCCAUUGAUUCAUCGAUAAGCUUAUUUAUCGGACCGAACAUGUGGGAUGGAUCUACAAAUAAAUAAAUAUCGUUUUGUAUCGAAA